CCUAGGGAGGCAGCAGUCGGGCAUAUUCCGCAAUGGGCGAAAGCCUGACGGAGCAACGCCGCGUGAGUGAAGAAGAUCUUCGGAUUGUAAAGCUCUGUCAACAGGGACGAUAAUGACGGUACCUGUGGAGGAAGCCACGGCAAACUACGUGCCAGCAGCCGCGGUAAUACGUAGGUGGCAAGCGUUGUCCGGAAUAACUGGGCGUAAAGCGCAUGUAGACGGCAUCGCAAGCCAAGUGUGAAAUUUAGGGGCUUAACCUCUAAACGGCGCUUGGAACUGCUGAGCUUGAGUGCAGGAGAGGCAAGUGGAAGUCCCAGUGUAGCAGUGAAAUGCGUAGAUAUUGGGAGGAACACCAGUGGCGAAGGCGACUGGCUGGACUGCAACUGACGCUGAGAUGCGAAAGCUAGGGGAGCAAACU
rnacentral:rRNA from 1 species